rnacentral:rRNA from 1 species
UUAAGCGACUAAGCGUACACGGUGGAUGCCCUGGCAGUCAGAGGCGAUGAAGGACGUGCUAAUCUGCGAAAAGCGCCGGCGAGGUGAUAUGAACCCUUGACCCGGCGAUGUCCGAAUGGGGAAACCCAGUGCAAUCCGUUGCACUAUCGUUAACUGAAUACAUAGGUUAACGAGGCGAACCGGGGGAACUGAAACAUCUAAGUACCCCGAGGAAAAGAAAUCAACCGAGAUUCCCCCAGUAGCGGCGAGCGAACGGGGAGCAGCCCGGAGUCUGAAUCAGCUUGUGUGUUAGUGGAACGGUCUGGAAAGUCCGACGGUACAGGGUGAUAGUCCCGUACACGAAAGCACACAUGCUGUGAACUCGAAGAGUAGGGCGGGACACGUGGUAUCCUGUCUGAAUAUGGGGGGACCAUCCUCCAAGGCUAAAUACUCCUGACUGACCGAUAGUGAACCAGUACCGUGAGGGAAAGGCGAAAAGAACCCCGGCGAGGGGAGUGAAAAAGAACCUGAAACCGUGUACGUACAAGCAGUGGGAGCCUCUUUAUGGGGUGACUGCGUACCUUUUGUAUAAUGGGUCAGCGACUUAUAUUCUGUAGCAAGGUUAACCGUAUAGGGGAGCCGAAGGGAAACCGAGUCUUAACUGGGCGUUAAGUUGCAGGGUAUAGACCCGAAACCCGGUGAUCUAGCCAUGGGCAGGUUGAAGGUUGGGUAACACUAACUGGAGGACCGAACCGACUAAUGUUGAAAAAUUAGCGGAUGACCUGUGGCUGGGGGUGAAAGGCCAAUCAAACCGGGAGAUAGCUGGUUCUCCCCGAAAGCUAUUUAGGUAGCGCCUCGUGAACUCAUCUUCGGGGGUAGAGCACUGUUUCGGCUAGGGGGCCAUCCCGGCUUACCAACCCGAUGCAAACUACGAAUACCGAAGAAUGUUAUCACGGGAGACACACGGCGGGUGCUAACGUCCGUCGUGAAGAGGGAAACAACCCAGACCGCCAGCUAAGGUCCCAAAGUCAUGGUUAAGUGGGAAACGAUGUGGGAAGGCACAGACAGCCAGGAUGUUGGCUUAGAAGCAGCCAUCAUUUAAAGAAAGCGUAAUAGCUCACUGGUCGAGUCGGCCUGCGCGGAAGAUGUAACGGGGCUAAACCAUGCACCGAAGCUGCGGCAGCGACGCUUAUGCGUUGUUGGGUAGGGGAGCGUUCUGUAAGCCGUUGAAGGUGUGCUGUGAGGCAUGCUGGAGGUAUCAGAAGUGCGAAUGCUGACAUAAGUAACGAUAAAGCGGGUGAAAAGCCCGCUCGCCGGAAGACCAAGGGUUCCUGUCCAACGUUAAUCGGGGCAGGGUGAGUCGACCCCUAAGGCGAGGCCGAAAGGCGUAGUCGAUGGGAAACAGGUUAAUAUUCCUGUACUUGGUGUUACUGCGAAGGGGGGACGGAGAAGGCUAUGUCAGCCGGGCGACGGUUGUCCCGGUUUAAGCAUGUAGGCGGAGGUUCCAGGUAAAUCCGGUACCUUAUUAACGCUGAGGUGUGAUGACGAGGCACUACGGUGCUGAAGUGAUAAAUGCCCUGCUUCCAGGAAAAGCCUCUAAGCAUCAGGUAACACGAAAUCGUACCCCAAACCGACACAGGUGGUCAGGUAGAGAAUACCAAGGCGCUUGAGAGAACUCGGGUGAAGGAACUAGGCAAAAUGGUGCCGUAACUUCGGGAGAAGGCACGCUGAUGUGUAGGUGAAGCCCCUGCGGGUGGAGCUGAAAUCAGUCGAAGAUACCAGCUGGCUGCAACUGUUUAUUAAAAACACAGCACUGUGCAAACACGAAAGUGGACGUAUACGGUGUGACGCCUGCCCGGUGCCGGAAGGUUAAUUGAUGGGGUUAGCGGCAACGCGAAGCUCUUGAUCGAAGCCCCGGUAAACGGCGGCCGUAACUAUAACGGUCCUAAGGUAGCGAAAUUCCUUGUCGGGUAAGUUCCGACCUGCACGAAUGGCGUAAUGAUGGCCAGGCUGUCUCCACCCGAGACUCAGUGAAAUUGAACUCGCUGUGAAGAUGCAGUGUACCCGCGGCAAGACGGAAAGACCCCGUGAACCUUUACUAUAGCUUGACACUGAACACUGGUCCUUGAUGUGUAGGAUAGGUGGGAGGCUUUGAAGCGUGGACGCCAGUCUGCGUGGAGCCAACCUUGAAAUACCACCCUUUAAUGGCUGGUGUUCUAACGUAGACCCGUAAUCCGGGUUGCGGACAGUGUCUGGUGGGUAGUUUGACUGGGGCGGUCUCCUCCCAAAGAGUAACGGAGGAGCACGAAGGUUGGCUAAUCCUGGUCGGACAUCAGGAGGUUAGUGCAAUGGCAUAAGCCAGCUUGACUGCGAGCGUGACGGCGCGAGCAGGUGCGAAAGCAGGUCAUAGUGAUCCGGUGGUUCUGAAUGGAAGGGCCAUCGCUCAACGGAUAAAAGGUACUCCGGGGAUAACAGGCUGAUACCGCCCAAGAGUUCAUAUCGACGGCGGUGUUUGGCACCUCGAUGUCGGCUCAUCACAUCCUGGGGCUGAAGUAGGUCCCAAGGGUAUGGCUGUUCGCCAUUUAAAGUGGUACGCGAGCUGGGUUUAGAACGUCGUGAGACAGUUCGGUCCCUAUCUGCCGUGGGCGCUGGAGAAUUGAGGGGGGCUGCUCCUAGUACGAGAGGACCGGAGUGGACGCAUCACUGGUGUUCGGGUUGUCAUGCCAAUGGCACUGCCCGGUAGCUAAAUGCGGAAGAGAUAAGUGCUGAAAGCAUCUAAGCACGAAACUUGCCCCGAGAUGAGUUCUCCCUGAGAC